rnacentral:rRNA from 1 species
UACGAAGGGGGCUAGCGUUGCUCGGAAUUACUGGGCGUAAAGCGCACGUAGGCGGCUCUUUAAGUCGGAGGUGAAAUCCUGGAGCUCAACUCCAGAACUGCCUUCGAUACUGAAGAGCUCGAGUCCGGGAGAGGUGAGUGGAACUGCGAGUGUAGAGGUGAAAUUCGUAGAUAUUCGCAAGAACACCAGUGACGAAGGCGGCUCACUGGCCCGGUACUGACGCUGAGGUGCGAAAGCGUGGGGAGCAAACAGG